rnacentral:rRNA from 1 species
UGGGGAAUAUUGCACAAUGGGCGCAAGCCUGAUGCAGCAGCGCCGCGUGAGGGACGACGGCCUUCGGGUUGUAAACCUCUUUUGGCAGGGAAGAAGCGAAAGUGACGGUACCUGCAGAAAAAGCACCGGCUAACUACGUGCCAGCAGCCGCGGUGAUACGUAGGGUGCAAGCGUUGUCCGGAAUUAUUGGGCGUAAAGAGCUCGUAGGCGGUUUGUCGCGUCUGCUGUGAAAACCCGAGGCUCAACCUCGGGCCUGCAGUGGGUACGGGCAAACUAGAGUGCGGUAGGGGAGAUUGGAAUUCCUGGUGUAGCGGUGGAAUGCGCAGAUAUCAGGAGGAACACCGAUGGCGAAGGCAGAUCUCUGGGCCGUAACUGACGCUGAGGAGCGAAAGCAUGGGGAGCGAACA